GAGGGGAAGUUCAACUAGCAAGAACUGCUAAUUCCUGCAUCUGAGCCUAAACCCUCAGUCCCCUCA
rnacentral:tRNA from 1 species